AUGCUUGCUUUGGCAACAUGCAUAUUAAAAUUGGAACAAUAUAGAGAUUAGUCUGGCCCCUGAGAAAGGAUGACACACAAAUUUGGGAAGCGUUCCAUAUUUUU